UCUGGCCCCUCUCGGGGUCCGAGUUGUAAUUUGUAGAGGAUGCUUUUGGCGAGGCGCCGCCCGAGUUCCCUGGAACGGGACGCCACAGAGGGUGAGAGCCCCGUCUGGCUGGCCGCCGAGCCUCUGUAAAGCUCCUUCGACGAGUCGAGUAGUUUGGGAAUGCUGCUCAAAAUGGGAGGUAUAUGUCUUCUAAAGCUAAAUACUGGCCAGAGACCGAUAGCGCACAAGUAGAGUGAUCGAHAGAUGAAAAGCACCUUGAAAAGAGGGUUAAAUAGUACGUGAAAUUGUUGAAAGGGAAGCGCUUGUGACCAGACUUGGGCGCGGCGGAUCAUCCGGGGUUCUCCCCGGUGCACUUCGCCGCGUCCAGGCCAGCAUCAGUUCGUCGCGGGGGAUAAAGGCUUCGGGAACGUGGCUCCCCCGGGAGUGUUAUAGCCCGUUGCACAAUACCCUGCGGUGGACUGAGGACCGCGCAUCUGCAAGGAUGCUGGCGUAAUGGUCACCAGCGACCCGUCUUGAAACACGGACCAAGGAGUCGUCUUCGUAUGCGAGUGUUCGGGUGUCAAACCCCUACGCGUAAUGAAAGUGAACGCAGGUGAGAGC
rnacentral:rRNA from 1 species